UGCCAGCAGCCGCGGUAAUACGUAGGUCCCGAGCGUUGUCCGGAUUUAUUGGGCGUAAAGCGAGCGCAGGCGGUUAGAUAAGUCUGAAGUUAAAGGCUGUGGCUUAACCAUAGUACGCUUUGGAAACUGUUUAACUUGAGUGCAAGAGGGGAGAGUGGAAUUCCAUGUGUAGCGGUGAAAUGCGUAGAUAUAUGGAGGAACACCGGUGGCGAAAGCGGCUCUCUGGCUUGUAACUGACGCUGAGGCUCGAAAGCGUGGGGAGCAAACAGGAUUAGAUACCCUGGUAGUCC
rnacentral:rRNA from 1 species